rnacentral:lncRNA from 1 species
UUGGUUGUCCUCUUAACCAAGGAGUAUGAAAAUACUGGUAUGGCAUAUAGGUGAGAUGUAAGGAUACAUCUGCACAGAACGUGACCGACUUCGGAGCUAUUUCUGCUGUUAAGAUUUGCUCCGAUGGGAUAUGGGUAUAACUGUCCCUCCAAUCUGAGACAGCCACGGUGACUUGCAAGCAACUCACUGCACUUAGGCACUGGACUACCUGAAUUUCUAAUUCAGUGAUGGAAGGAUGCUGGGUGUAGUCAAGUACUUGACUUGUCGGU